rnacentral:misc_RNA from 1 species
GAUGAAGAACGUAGCGAAAUGCGAUAAGUAAUGUGAAUUGCAGAAUUCAGUGAAUCAUCGAAUCUUUGAACGCACAUUGCGCCCCUUGGUAUUCCAUGGGGCAUGCCUGUUCGAGCGUCAUUUGUACCUUCAAGCUUUGCUUGGUGUUGGGUGUUUGUCUCGCCUUUGCGUGUAGACUCGCCUUAAAAUAAUUGGCAGCCGGCGUAUUGAUUUCGGAGCGCAGUACAUCUCGCGCUUUGCACUCAUAACGACAGCGUCCAAAAGUACAUUUUACACUCUUGACCUCGGAUCAGGUAGGGAUAUCCGCUGAACUUAAGCAUAUCAAUAAGCGGAGGA